GUGACACCUUUUAUUUCGUAUAUCAGAUGUAUAAUGCACAAUCAUCUCUCGCUGUACGUGAGGACCAUCAAAAGGUUUGCUAAAGUUUAAAAAGUGCCCAAUUGAUAGGUCACGUCAGCAUUGGGCGUGCAUCUCUAUAACAGAAGGAGUGGAAUAGAAGGCAUCAGCAUUGUAGAUGUUCGCCUCUGCUACUCGAUUUCCAUAAUGGAACAUCCAGUUUAGGUGGGCCAAACAGCCGUGUAUCUCUUCUAGAUGGAAAGGUGUGCGGAAGGGAUUUGUACCAAUUGACCGGGUAGCAAUUGAACAGGAAGA